rnacentral:lncRNA from 1 species
GAGUAUCCUAAAAAGGAGGAAAGUGGGUUAAGGAACACAGACACCCCAGAAAACCAAACUGGCAUCAGAUCCAUCCAAACCACAAAAGGUACGAACUUUGAUGCCAGAGAACCCAGAGAGAGAGAAAGAGAAUCAAUCAACGUGGGACAGAAUUUAGGAAGAAGUCAAAGCAUCAUAAACAGGGAAGGUUCCAAAGGGGUGUUAGCAGCAAUAGCAUAGCAGAGAAAGAAAGAAAGAAAGAAGCAGAGAUGGAUAGAGGCAAUGAUAACGUCACGCGGCUGUGAAGGUCAAGGACACACCAUCCCCGAAAUUUCGCCUUUCGUUGAGAAACAAACAAAGAAGAGAGAGAAAAGAAGACACUGUUCGCGUAGGUGCUUAAAAGAAAGAAAGAAAGGGUUCUGUUUUUG